rnacentral:rRNA from 1 species
GACAUUGGGUCUUGGUACUACAUGUACAGGAUAGGUGGGAGGCUUUGAAACCAGGACGACAGUUUUGGCGGAGCCAUCCUUGGGAUACCACCCUUGUAGUACUGGGACUCUAACCAUAGGCCAUGAAGCUGGUCUUGGGACACUGUCAGGUGGGCAGUUUGACUGGGGCGGUCGCCUCCCAAAAGGUAACGGAGGCGCUCAAAGGUUCUCUCAGUACGGUCGGAAAGCGUACGUAGAGUGUAAAGGCAAAAGAGAGCUUGAUUGCAAGACAUACAGGUCGAGCAAGGAUGAAAAUCGGACUUAGUGAUCCGGUGGUUC